UACGGGGGGGGGCAAGCGUUGUUCGGAAUUACUGGGCGUAAAGGGCUCGUAGGCGGCCAACUAAGUCGGACGUGAAAUCCCUCGGCUUAACCGGGGAACUGCGUCCGAUACUGGAUGGCUUGAGUUUGGGAGAGGGAUGCGGAAUUCCAGGUGUAGCGGUGAAAUGCGUAGAUAUCUGGAGGAACACCGGUGGCGAAGGCGGCAUCCUGGACCAAUACUGACGCUGAGGAGCGAAAGCCAGGGGAGCAAAGCGGG
rnacentral:rRNA from 1 species